GUUUGACCUCGGAUCAGGUAGGGUUACCCGCUGAACUUAAGCAUAUCAAUAAGCGGAGGAAAAGAAACCAACAGGGAUUGCCCCAGUAACGGCGAGUGA
rnacentral:rRNA from 1 species